GACAGAGGGUGCAAACGUUGUUCGGAAUUACUGGGCGUAAAGCGUGUGUAGGCGGCUACGUAAGUCGGAUGUGAAAGCCCCAGGCUCAACCUGGGAAGUGCACUCGAUACUGCGUAGCUUGAGUAUCGGAGAGGUUGGUGGAAUUCUCGGUGUAGAGGUGAAAUUCGUAGAUAUCGAGAGGAACACCGGUGGCGAAGGCGGCGAACUGGACAGCAACUGACACUCAACUGCGAAAGCGUGGGGAGCAAACAGG
rnacentral:rRNA from 1 species